AUGCCUAACACAUAGCAAGUACGAACGGAAGUAGAAAUACUUAGUGGCGAACGGGUGAGUAACACGUGAGCAACCUGCCUAUACACAGGGAUAACAGUUGGAACGACUGCUAAUACCGGAUAAGACCACACUAUGGCAUCAUAGAGGGGUCGAAAGCGAAUAAGCGGUAUAAGAUGGGCUCGCGUCCAAUUAGCUAGUUGGUGAGGUAACGGCCCACCAAGGCGACGAUGGUAGCCGACUGAGAGAGUGAUCGGCCACACUGGAACUGAGACACGGUCCAGACUCCUACGGGAGGCAGCAGUGGGGAAUAUUGGGCAAUGGAGGAAACUCUUACCCAGCAAAUGCCGCGUGAGUGAUGAAGGUCUUUGGAUUGUAAAGCUCUUUGAUUGGGGACGAAUAAAUGACGGUACCCAAAGAACAAGCCCCGGCUAACUAUGUGCCAGCAGCAGC
rnacentral:rRNA from 1 species